UACGGAGGGUGCGAGCGUUGUCCGGAAUCAUUGGGCGUAAAGGGCGCGUAGGUGGCCCGGUGAGUCUUUGGUGAAAGCGCGGGGCUCAACCCUGCGUCGGCCAGGGAUACUGCCGCGGCUCGAGCACUGUAGAGGCAGGCGGAAUUCCGGGUGUAGCGGUGGAAUGCGUAGAGAUGUGGAGGAACACCAGUGGCGAAGGCGACUCUUUGGCCUGUAACUGACGCUGAGGCGCGAAAGCGUGGGGAGCAAACAGG
rnacentral:rRNA from 1 species